AUCUUCAAAUUUCCUAUAAAUAUACGAACAUCUGCAAUCCAUUCACGAGAAACGUUUUACGUUUUUUUUUUUUUCUUAUCCGAUUAGUAAAGAAAUUUUUGUAUCGAAUAUAAUGUUAUUUUUCUAUUGUGGAACGAUGAAUGGCAGGCAUUGAAACUUACCAGGUUGGAAACGCACGAUAAAGUAUCUUUUCUUUCGCUAUCUUCGUUUCUUCUCGAAUUUCCACAGUUAUAUUCCCUCAAAUAAGAAAAGAAC